UAUAAAAGUAAAAGAAAUACGAAAAACUAUAAAACUAAACGAAAUACGAACAACUACAAAAAAAAAACAAAAUUAAACAAACUAUAAAGGUUGAAUUAAAAAAAAAAAAACAAAAUGUCGGACAUUGAAAAAAGCGAUGAAGAAUCAGAAGACAUUAUUGAUGAUAUAAUUGAAGAAGUCUUCGUUGAAGACAUUGAGGACGAUGUCACCGAACAAAAUGAAAGAUCAGAAAUUUCAAAUUCAAAUACAUGCAAUGUCCAAAAUGAGACAGUUGUUGCCGAUCUAUUGAAAAUGUGGGAGCUUCCAGAGCUCUGUGAAUUGUUUUACGAAAGAAACAUCGAUUUAUAUUGCCUGGAACACAUAACAGUUUCUGACAUAGACCGUUUAAUUCCUGGAGAAUUCAUGGAUUGCAAAUAAAGUUUAAAGCAAGGUUAACUCAAUGGAGAUCUUCGAAGGACUUACCUCUAAGUUCAAUAUCCGAAAGUCUUACAAUGAAUUCAAGCAAUACUCCCUCUGUAACAACCGAAAUAAUGCAAAUACUUCCGAAAACAAACACUGUUUUUCAAUCGGAUUCCAAAUUUACUUCAGUUCAUGAAGAACAACAUUUGGUGAGUCAUACUCCUAAGUCAUAAUUUUAUUUAAGAAUGUUUAGGUUAUUAAUUCAAUGAUGAAUAUUCAAAGUAAUCUAAAUAUUUUUUUAUCAUUAGUCUUAAAGAAGGUUCUUUAAUCUUUAAACCUAAAAGAAAUAUUGAAUCUUCGGAAAUCCACCCCAUGACAGUGAGCAAAUCCUUAUAGUCUAAGAGCCAGCGACCUAAAGUUUGCAGGUAAUUGCUUAGUAUUCACCCCUAUGAAAUAUGUUUAAGGACAUUCCCAGGCAUGUUACUGCAAAAAAAAAAAGUCUCGUGAGACGUGGCAAAAACGGUCUGCCAAGCACUUGAAUGUGAAAAAAAUUUUAAAUUAAGAACUCGACCUUAAAUCAAAAAAAAAAUAUUUAAAGAGAACGGCAACACUUACAAAACUAAACGAUACCUUUUUUUAAAGGUAAAAAGUUAUGCUACUUUUUGGUUUUUAUAUAAAUGUUUUUUGAUGAAUAGUUUUUGAAACAAAAAAUUUCAAACACAAAAUUUUGAAAAAAAAUUCAAAAAAAGUUCAAACAGUUUUUUUUUUUCAUAAAAUUUACGCAAUCAAGUAUUAUUUU